ACACAUGCAAGUCGAGCGGGGAGAAUGUAGCUUGCUACAUGACCUAGCGGCGGACGGGUGAGUAAUGCUUAGGAAUCUGCCUAUUAGUGGGGGACAACAUUCCGAAAGGAAUGCUAAUACCGCAUACGCCCUACGGGGGAAAGCAGGGGAUCUUCGGACCUUGCGCUAAUAGAUGAGCCUAAGUCAGAUUAGCUAGUUGGUGGGGUAAAGGCCUACCAAGGCGACGAUCUGUAGCGGGUCUGAGAGGAUGAUCCGCCACACUGGGACUGAGACACGGCCCAGACUCCUACGGGAGGCAGCAGUGGGGAAUAUUGGACAAUGGGCGCAAGCCUGAUCCAGCCAUGCCGCGUGUGUGAAGAAGGCCUUUUGGUUGUAAAGCACUUUAAGCGAGGAGGAGGCUACUUGGAUUAAUACUCUAGGAUAGUGGACGUUACUCGCAGAAUAAGCACCGGCUAACUCUGUGCCAGCAGCCGCGGUAAUACAGAGGGUGCGAGCGUUAAUCGGAUUUACUGGGCGUAAAGCGUGCGUAGGCGGCUUUUUAAGUCGGAUGUGAAAUCCCUGAGCUUAACUUAGGAAUUGCAUUCGAUACUGGGAAGCUAGAGUAUGGGAGAGGAUGGUAGAAUUCCAGGUGUAGCGGUGAAAUGCGUAGAGAUCUGGAGGAAUACCGAUGGCGAAGGCAGCCAUCUGGCCUAAUACUGACGCUGAGGUACGAAAGCAUGGGGAGCAA
rnacentral:rRNA from 1 species